AUGUACAUCCCUGGACUGAGCUGUACAUCCAUUUUGCUGUGGAGGCACAGCAGCAGCUGGCCCUGCCACAGCACCUCCCAGGGCUCUGCUCCUCCAACCCCUCUCUCCCACUGCUCCCAGUAUCAUCCCUGUUCAUGUUUCUCUGAGAACACACAAGUGCAUUACAGAAAAUUGCUUUGCCAGGAGGACUGGCAGCAUCUGACCUUGUGGUUCCCUGGGCAGCAGCAAUUUGCCUUUGUUUCCUGGCUUAUUAACAUGCUGUAAACUGAUUGCAAUUCUGGAGUGACCCCGGUGUCCCUCUCAUAGCCUCUCUUGCAGCAUCAUUUUGCGUGGGGAGAUGAAUUGUUAUGUUGCAGCAGAAUCUUCCUUCUGUACUUAUUUCCCAACAUUGUCCUCAGAGGCAGCCCCAACAGCUGCUGCUUUUUCCUGGGGAAUAACCAUCCCACACAACAUCCCUGUGUGCCCAGGCCAGGGAGUGCAACUGCAUUUCUGAGCCUUGCUGCUCCCCACAAUGCCUGUCCUGACCUGCUCGAGUGAUGAAGAGAAAAACAGAAAUCCUACAUUAAAAAUCACUGCUUUAGUUUUAAUGCAAAUAUUCUGUGUUAGAGCAUCCAGGCUGGAAUUGGCUGUAACAGCUGACUUAGUCACCCAAUCGCACAUUCAUCAUUCAGGGUUUUUUUAUCUCCAGUAAAAAGAAAUAAGCAGCUCAACAGACUUGUGCAUCCCUUCAGGAUAUGGUUCCAAGCAGAUUAUUUUUUUCUGGAAACAGCCAUUGCUCAGCAUUUCAAUAUAACAGGAAGCAUGAUUACCAUCAAAAGUAAAAAACUCUUCAGACACCAGCCAUGCUAAGCAGCUGCAGUAUGGACCUUGGGAAAAACAUUUUGUGAAGAAGAUCACUGAUCUGGAAACAAACUCCACAUGUGCAGAUGUGCAUGGAAAAAUUCUCUCUUAAAAAAGUGUUCAAGAUGCUCCCUGGUAAGUCCCUCCCCUCUGCUGGAGUUGCCUCCUUCUCAGAGGUCUGAUGGAGUGAACAGAACAUGCCAGAUGGAAGGGACAAAUAUAAUAUACCUUUUUUUCUUUUUUUUCCCCCUCAACCACAACCAUUUGGGUUCUUCUCUCAUCAUCUGCACCCUCAAAAAAUCUUAAUUUAAAAGAAACAAGGUGGUGCAAGUUUGAAUGCUUCUUGUAAGAAUACCAUAGGUUUCUCCCAACAACUUGUGAGGAUGGUUCUGGAUAAAUCAGCCCAGUUUCCUGUAUUUAUAUUCUCCAAGAGUGCAGUGAAUCAGCAUUCCUGGGUGUGUGAAAACUGUCACCAAAUGGAAUUAAUGGCAAAAGAAAACAGGAACAGCAGCAGUGCCUGAGCUGCAGAGGAAAACAGCAGUUGUUAGUUCUGCAGGGCUUGGUUGAGUGUCUGAGAUAUAAAUGCUGACAGUCAUUUUUUUGUUUGGUUUCAUGUUUGUUAGUUUUUGGGGUUUUUUUUGGAAUGCUUCCAGUUUUGGGGAAAUCCACGCAGUUCAGCAGAGUUGGGUAAGUGUAACAGAGGACUCUCCUCUGGGCAUUUCUGAUGCUUGUUGCCUCUUGCCAGGACUGGGGGAGAGGCUUAACCUGACACUGAGCAUCUCCACACCCCAGUGCAGGUCCUUGAAGGUGCAUCAACAACCUGGAAGAGCAACUCCUCUCUUGCAUGUGGGAGAAUGACUUUUUACAGAGCAGAAUGGGACAACGGGGAACUGCUUUAAAUUAAGAAGAGAGAUUUAGAUUAUGAAAAAAUUCUUUAUUGUGAGUGUGUUGAGGCACAGGCUGUGCCUCAAGAGGUUGUGAAUUCCUGGAAAUGUUCAAGGUCAGGUUGAACAGGGCUUUGGAGCAACCUGAUUUAGUGGAAGGUGUCCCUUCCCAUGGCAGAAGGGUGGAACCAGAUCAGCUCUAAGGUCCCUUCCAUUCCAAACCAUUCUGUGAUUCUGUGUUUCCAUGUUUGUCAUUAAAAGUUUAGGAAAGGAAAAUGUUUUGACCUGAUUUGUGCCAGAUUCCAGAUGCUUUGUGUUCUCUAAUUACAUCCCCCAGUCCAUUAAUCUCCUGUGCAUUACAGCAAGCAGCCACUGCGGUACCAGUGAAGAUAUUGCCAUAAAAUAUUAAUGAGCUGUUUUUCCAUCUAGACAGAGUUGGGUUGGAAUUGCUGCCCCCCACAGCUGUUACCUUGACUGCAGCUCACACAGCAAGUGGUGGUGGCCACGUGUGCCAACACUGUCACUGAUGCACACAGAUUUUCUGGGAGUUCCUGGCUAUUUCUUGCUCUCUGCAGAUCAUACAUGUCCCAAAGUGCCUGAACACUGGUGUGGAUUGGCCCCUCCUGGACACACCACACAGAGGCUGGAGCGCUGAGCCCCGUGAAUUGUUGCAGGUCUCAGGGAGGGCAGCACUGCCAUCACUUGAAAACCUUCUCCUGCCUGGGGUCACAUGAAACCCCCUGUCCUGCCAGCAGCCCUAAACAGGUGCUGUGUGUGUUUCUCUCCUGCAGGAUUCCUCCUCCAGCCCCCAGCCACAGUCAGGGCACAGACAGCAGCACAGCAGCACCUUCCAUUACAUCCACACUGUGAUGGGGACUGGGUUUUAAUCCAUCUGGCCCUUCCUGAGCGCAUCUCAGCAGAUCAGGGGAUUUUCCAGGCUGGGAUCCCAGUCCCAGUUUCCCAGUCGCUCUCCUUGUGCCGUGCCACCAUCUAGCGGUGACUCCACCGAGCCGGAGCAUCCCCGGCUGCCGGGAGCCCGGCGCUGCUCGGUUCGGCUCGGUUCGGCUCGGUUCAGCUCGGUUCAGCUCGGUUCAGCUCCAUCUGGGGGUGCUGGGCCAGCACUCUGCUGAUGGACCAUAAACCCAGCAGGAUAACGAGGACAAGGCUUCUCCCUGCUCUGCUCUGCUCCUUCCUGUAGUGCGAUUCUACAAGUGCUGGAUGCGGUUCUGCUGCUAAAGGAGGAGGGACUGGGAAAGGUGAUGGGAGGGGCAGGGGGAAAGCAAAGGUGAGCAAUGCACACACACAUAUCCACAUGCAUACACUGUCCUAGGGGAGUUUCCAGGCAUUUAUCUCCCAGGAAGGCUCAGCAGCAUUUUUGGACCCCUGUGAGCAAAGCCAAGCGUUGAGCCAGAACAUCCUGGGGGAGGCUGGAAAUCAUCCUGUGUCCCUCUCCUGUGGGAAAGGGGAGCCAAACUUGCACGGCACUCUGGAGGAGCUGCCUUUUGCCUGGUGUAAUUAAGAAUAACCAGAAAACUGCUUUCCUGGCCUGGAAUUGCAGCUCCUUGAGCUGCUUUAAAAAAAAAACAACU